rnacentral:lncRNA from 1 species
AGGGACGUCAGGAGGAAAGACCAGGAGAAAGGGUGGAGCCGGAGGUGGAGGUGGAGCCGGAGGUGGAGCCGGAGGCGAAGCACAUCCUCUGGGAAGGAUCUGCACAGCUGCCCUCUUGCCUCAUCGCACUCGCCAACCCCGAGGGGCGGCUUUCAGCCGGUUUGCUAAUGUGCUCAGUUCCUCUUUGGGACAUAUGCCUGUCCCUCUGAGUUCCCGUGGCUGCGUGGAAGUGGACCUAGGCCCAGAGGGUGACUAAGCGGGGAAGCCCCUGGACUGCACGGCUCCCAGAGGCUCCCGGUUGCGUAAGGACUCUUAUUUCUUUCUUUCUUUUUUUUUUUUUUUUCUUUUUGAGAAGGUUGCAGGCAACAGGAUGAAUCAUAGCAAACACACGUGGCUCUGGGGGUGGGGUGGUGGGGGGGGGACA